ensembl:lncRNA
AAUGGAGGAGGCGGUCAUGUCAAUUCUGCACAACUUAGAGAUGGAGAACACUGAGAUCCAUGAGAACAACCAUAAGCUGAAGAAGGAGAUUACCUUCUCUAGAAACCUGCUCAGCCAGCUCCUGAUGGAGAACACAUGCAGGAAGAAGUUGGUCCCACGGAAGCAGGAGAGCAAGGAGGGACAUCUUGAGUGUGCACUGAACCAGAAAUAUUUGGUUGACUUCAACAAGAAAGAUAAAGACCAGCAAUGUCCAGACCCAGCAUCAUCUGGUCUCAGAAAGUGCAAGAGAGCUGGAAUUGGACACACACCAGUAAGAGAGCUUCCUGAAGAAUAAGUUGCUUUCUCAGGAGUCCCUGAUGACAAACAUCCUGAACGGUAACAACAUUUUUUGGAUGAGUAUUCUUCCUCAGAG